AUUGAACGCUGGCGGCAUGCCUUACACAUGCAAGUCGAACGGCAGCACGGGAGCUUGCUCCUGGUGGCGAGUGGCGAACGGGUGAGUAAUACAUCGGAACGUACCCUGAAUGGGGGAUAACGUAGCGAAAGUUACGCUAAUACCGCAUAUUCUGUGAGCAGGAAAGAGGGGGAUCGCAAGACCUCUUGCUUUAGGAGCGGCCGAUGUCGGAUUAGCUAGUUGGUGAGGUAAAGGCUCACCAAGGCGACGAUCCGUAGCGGGUCUGAGAGGAUGAUCCGCCACACUGGGACUGAGACACGGCCCAGACUCCUACGGGAGGCAGCAGUGGGAAUUUUGGACAAUGGGCGCAAGCCUGAUCCAGCCAUGCCGCGUGAGUGAAGAAGGCCUCGGUUGUAAAGCUCUUCGGUGGGUAA
rnacentral:rRNA from 1 species